UCUGUUCAAUUUCUUCUCAGUGUUUUGGUUGUCAAAAUACAGAGAUGACAAAUGACUUCUUUGCAGAAUGCCGGCAGAAAAUCUGUGUACGGCUGAUGCAUCGAGCAACAUGUGGGGAAUGUUAAUAGCUCUGUCACCCUCUCAGUUGGGAAAACACUGCUCAGAGGGAAAGGUUGAACACUGAGGGUGCUGGAACAGAUUACAUCAAGGUUUCACAUACAGUGCCACUCCACUAUCAACUGGGCAUUCCUACUGAUGUCCCUCCUCUGCUUUUUAAUCAGCACUGUGCAGAUUCCGUAAUUUCAUCUGCUGACACUUCCUUUCAUCGAGGCUCUUGAGCCACUUUCCAUGCCAGCUCUAUUUUAGGAUGAAUGCAGCCUGAUCACCCUGCUAAGUACCUCUCCUGAGUGCUACCUCCCUGAUGCUGCAGAGAGAUACAAGGUCUUUCCUGUCUGUAAAAGACAGUGCUCUCCUGCCUAUGUUUUAAGCUGGGAAGAGGACAGCUGCCUAAAG